AAGACCUUGCGCUUUUGGAGCGGCCGAUGUCUGAUUAGCUUGUUGGUGAGGUAAAAGCUUACCAAGGCUUCGAUCAGUAGCUGGUCUGAGAGGACGGCCAGCCACACUGGGACUGAGACACGGCCCAGACUCCUACGGGAGGCAGCAGUGGGGAAUUUUGGACAAUGGGGGKAACCCUGAUCCAGCCAUGCCGCGUGAGUGAAGAAGGCCUUCGGGUUGUAAAGCUCUUUCAGCCGGAACGAAACGGUUACGGUUAAUACCCGUGAUUACUGACGGUACCGGAAGAAGAAGCACCGGCUAACUACGUGCCAGCAGCCGCGGUAAUACGUAGGGUGCGAGCGUUAAUCGGAAUUACUGGGCGUAAAGCGUGCGCAGGUGGUUUUGUAAGUCAGAUGUGAAAGCCCCGGGCUCAACCUGGGAACU
rnacentral:rRNA from 1 species